GAUGAAGAACGUAGCGAAAUGCGAUAAGUAAUGUGAAUUGCAGAAUUCAGUGAACCAUCGAAUCUUUGAACGCACAUUGCGCCCCUCGGGUCUCCCGGGGGGCAUGCCUGUCCGAGCGUCAUUUCAGCCCUCGACCCACUAUUCGCGUAGCUGGAUCGGUGUUGGGGCACUACGGUGGAAUACCCCGUAGGCUCCGAAAUGAAGUGGCGGUCCCGCCGCGGCGCCCCCAUGCGUAGUAACAUCUCGUCUCGCAUCGGGUCCCGGCGGAGGCCUGCCGUCAAGCCUAUUUUAAUCACAGAUGGUUUGACCUCGGAUCAGGUAGGGUUACCCGCUGAACUUAAGCAUAUCAAUAAGCGGAGGA
rnacentral:misc_RNA from 1 species